rnacentral:rRNA from 1 species
GUAAGUUAUUAAGGGCACACGGUGGAUGCCUUGGCAUUAAGAGCCGAUGAAGGACGUGUGAAUCUGCGAUAAGCCUCGGGGAGCCGAUAACUGGGCGUUGAUCCGAGGAUUUCCGAAUGGGGAAACCUGGCUCAUCUUCAUGGUGAGUUACCGCCAGCUGAAUGUAUAGGCUGGUUGGGGGGAACGCGGGGAAGUGAAACAUCUCAGUACCCGCAGGAAGAGAAAAUAAAGUAAUGAUUCUGUGAGUAGUGGCGAGCGAAAGCGGAAGAGACUAAACCUGUGGUGUGUGAUAGCGGUUAGGCGUUGCAUCAUGGGGGUUGUGGGAGUCACAGUGGCAGUUCUAACUGGCUGCCGGCAUGAUGUUCAGGAUGGUAGGUGAACGACUUGGAAUGGUCGGCCGUAGAGGGUGAGAGUCCCGUAAUCGAAAUUGUUCUGUCCGUGGUGUGGCCACCCGAGUAGCACGGGGCUCGUGGAAUCUCGUGUGAAUCUGCCAGGACCACCUGGUAAGUCUAAAUACUUCUUAGUGACCGAUAGUGAAUCAGUACCGUGAGGGAAUGGUGAAAAGUACCCCGGGAGGGGAGUGAAAUAGUACCUGAAACCGUGUGCUUACAAGCCGUUGGAGCCUUUUGGGGUGACAGCGUGCCUUUUGAAGAAUGAGCCUGCGAGUUAGUGUUAUGUCGCGAGGUUAACCCGUGUGGGGUAUCCGUAGCGAAAGCGAGUCUGAAUAGGGCGUUUGAGUGGCAUGACCUAGACCCGAAGCGGAGUGAUCUAUCCAUGGCCAGGUUGAAGCGACGGUAAGACGUCGUGGAGGACCGAACCCACUUCAGUUGAAAAUGGAGGGGAUGAGCUGUGGAUAGGGGUGAAAGGCCAAUCAAACUCUGUGAUAGCUGGUUCUCCCCGAAAUGCAUUUAGGUGCAGCGUUACGUGUUUCUUGCCGGAGGUAGAGCUACUGGAUGGCCGAUGGGCCUUCACGGGUUACUGACGUCAGCUAAACUCCGAAUGCCGGUAAGUGAGAGCGUAGCAGUGAGACAGUGGGGGAUAAGCUUCAUUGUCGAGAGGGAAACAGCCCAGACCACCAACUAAGGCCCCUAAGCGUGUGCUAAGUGGGAAAGGAUGUGGAGUUGCUUAGACAACCAGGAGGUUGGCUUAGAAGCAGCCACCCUUGAAAGAGUGCGUAACAGCUCACUGGUCAAGUGAUUCUGCGCCGAUAAUGUAGCGGGGCUCAAGUACACCGCCGAAGUUGUGGCAAUGACCUUUUUUGGUUGUUGGGUAGGGGAGCGUCGUGUGGCCGUUGAAGCUGCGGUGUAAACCAGUGGUGGAGGCUAUGCGAGUGAGAAUGCAGGCAUGAGUAGCGAAAGAUGAGUGAGAAACUCAUCCGCCGGAUGAUCAAGGGUUCCAGGGUCAAGUUAAUCUGCCCUGGGUUAGUCGGGGCCUAAGGCGAGGCCGACAGGCGUAGUCGAUGGAUAACGGGUUGAUAUUCCCGUACCGGUGAAGAACCGCCCAUACUGAUAUUGUGAUGCUAACCAUGCGAAGCAUGAUGUGCAGGCUUUUGUUUGUGUGUUGUGUGGGUUGUGGGACCCGAUCUUUGGAGGUAAACGUGUUAACAGGUGUGACGCAGGAAGGUAGCCAAGCCACGCGAUGGUUGUCGUGGUCUAAGCGUGUAGGGUUGUCGGUUGUUAAAUGCGCCGGCUGUGUGCCUGAGACGUGAUGGGACCCCGUUUUUGGGGGAUUUGGUGAUCCUAUGCUGCCGAGAAAAGCAUCGGCGUGAGGUUUUAGCCGCCCGUACCCUAAACCGACACAGGUGAUCAGGUAGAGAAUACUAAGGCGAUCGAGAGAAUCAUGGUUAAGGAACUCGGCAAAAUGCCCCCGUAACUUCGGGAGAAGGGGGACCUUGAGCGUGAUGGGCACUUGCUGCCUGGAGCGUGUAUGGGUCGCAGAGACCAGGGGGAAGCGACUGUUUAUCAAAAACACAGGUCCGUGCGAAGUCGUAAGACGAUGUAUACGGACUGACUCCUGCCCGGUGCUGGAAGGUUAAGAGGAUUGGUUAGCUCUUUUGAGCGAAGCUGAGAAUUUAAGCCCCAGUAAACGGCGGUGGUAACUAUAACCAUCCUAAGGUAGCGAAAUUCCUUGUCGGGUAAGUUCCG